GGGGGGUGGAAAGAGGGAUGGGGGGAGGGUCCGGCUGGUGGAGGGGUGGGGGGCUGCGGGUUCGCCGUGCUGGGAGCUGCCGGCCGAGCGUGCAGGGUUUUUAUUUUUGCAGCCGUCUCCCGGUUUCGGAUGAGCUGUCCCGAGUCCUUCCCGGUUUUCUUGCGUGCUCCUCCCGUCCCUCAUCCCCCCCCUUUUUUUGCUCGGUGGCUCCGCGGUGAUGGAGGGGCUUCUGGCGACAUCAGUGCCGGGGGCUGAAUUCCAGGGCUUGGGGCAGGGGGAGGAGGGCUCGGAUGCACCGGUUCUGCCCAAGUGCCCCAAAACUGGUGGUCGUCCCCUCCCCGCACCAGGCAUCGCCUUCCUCAGAUUCCUCAGGCUGGAGAAUUUCUCCGAGUAAACACCCUGCAGGCUGCGAAAUGCACCCAGGCAGCCUGCAAGGAAACUUCUGGCCUAAGUCAGUGAAAAAUAAAAGUUGGAGUCAGCAGAGCUGCAGGAAGGUUGCUCUUGUCCUACUGAACUUGCUCGGGAUUUAGGGCGGCUGGCCAGAAAUCCCAUUUCUCCCCCAGCCACUUCAUCUUGGUUUUUCCACUCGGCGGCUGCCAAAGUUGAGGUGGCGGAGGGGAGUUGCCGGCAGCUAUGAGCCCUUGUAAUUUUUUUUGUGUGUGCUGUUAUAAGUUAAUAAUCCCGCUCUAGGCUGCUGGCCAAGAAUUUUUGCUUCAAAAAUGCAAGCAACAUACGAGACCCAUUGUGUAAAAAGAUCAUCUGAAUGUGGGACAGGAAGGGACCUGGCAGGUCAGCAAAUCUGCACGCUGAACGAUAUUACGCCUUAUUGCACGCUGCCGUAAUUCAUUUGUCCCCCGUCUCCCGAGAAGGGGAAGUUUCAGAACUUGACGAACAUAUAUUAUACAACUUCUUCCAAUAUCCAUCCUUCUCUAACUUCAUAUUUGCGCUCUGGUUGUUCACUUCUUUCUCUCUUGUUCUCAUUUUUUUUAAGCCCGCGUAGAAACAGUAGUUGCUUGCUUUUCUCUCUGCUGCGCAAUGCCAAACAGGCCAGAACUUGCCGUCUGCUUUCGUAAAGCAGGCUCCAGCUCCUGCUGAUCCCCAGCAGUCCUGUGCCACGCGUCUGCUCGCCGGCUGCCCCAUGGUUGAGCAGAGCUGUGGGGUCUGUCGGGUGCCUCUCCUGCUUCGACUCCUCACCGAGAAAUAGAUCCCACACUUGGUGAAAAUGAGGCAAGUAUUUAGCAGGAGCUCGGUACAGCCUUGCACCACGAUGCCCCGCGUGCAGGAGGGAGGCUCCCCAGUAAUGCUCAGCGCGUCGGUGUGAGAGUGACUAGGCGCUUCGGACCUAAUAUGUUAUAAUCCUUUCGGCGUUACCUACCAAGAUUGUUCCAGUUUCUCAGCAUUGCACGUGCAGCAGUGGCAGAGAAAGUACUGCAACAGAGCAGG